AACGAACGCUGGCGGCAGGCCUAACACAUGCAAGUCGAGCGACGACUCCGGUCCUAGCGGCGGACGGGUGAGUCACGCGUGGGAACGUGCCCUUUGCCUCGGAAUAGCCCUGGGAAACUGGGAGUAACACCGGAUGAGUUCCUCGGGGGCAAGAUUCAUCGGCGAAGGAUCGGCCCGCGUUGGUUUAGGUAGUUGGUGGGGUAAUGGCCUACCAAGCCGACGAUCCAUAGCUGGUUUGAGAGGAUGAGCAGCCACACUGGGACUGGGACACGGCCCAGACUCCUACGCGAGGGAGGAGUGGGGGAUCUUAGACAAUGGCGGGAACGCUGAUCUAGCCAUGCUGCGUGAGCGAUGAAGUCCUGAGGGUUGUACAGCUCUUUAAGCUGGGAAGAUACUGACGGUACCAGAAGAAGAAGCCCCGGCUAACUCCGUG
rnacentral:rRNA from 1 species